rnacentral:rRNA from 1 species
UACGGGGGGGCAAGCGUUGUUUGGAAUUACUGGGCGUAAAGGGCUCGUAGGCGGCCAACUAAGUCCGACGUGAAAUCCCCAGGCUUAACCUGGGAACUGCGUCGGAUACUGGAUGGCUUGAAUUCGGGAGAGGGAUGCAGAAUUCCAGGUGUAGCGGUGAAAUGCGUAGAUAUCUGGAGGAAUACCGGUGGCGAAGGCGGCAUCCUGGACCGACAUUGACGCUGAUGAGCGAAAGCUAGGGGAGCAAACGGGG